rnacentral:rRNA from 1 species
AGCGAACGUUAGCGGCGCGCCUAACACAUGCAAGUCGCACGAGAAAGGGAGCAAUCCCCGGUACAGUGGCGCACGGGUGAGUAACACGUAGAUGACCUUCCCUGGAGUGGUGGAUAACCUGCCGAAAGGCGGGCUAAUACAGCAUGGGACCACAUGGUUUUGACCGAGUGGUGAAAGCGGGCCUCUGUUCACAAGCUCGCGCUCUGGGAUGGGUCUGCGUCCCAUCAGCUAGUUGGUGAGGUAAUGGCUCACCAAGGCAUCGACGGGUAGCUGGUCUGAGAGGAUGACCAGCCACACUGGAACUGAGACACGGUCCAGACUCCUACGGGAGGCAGCAGUGGGGAAUCUCGCGCAAUGGGCGAAAGCCUGACGCAGCGACGCCGCGUGGGUGAUGAAGGCCUCGGUUGUAAGACCUCGUGGGAGGACGGAACCGUACGGGG